GACGAACGCUGGCGGCGUGCUUAACACAUGCAAGUCGAACGGAAAGGCCCUGCUUUUGCGGGGUGCUCGAUUGCCGAAGGGGUGAGUAACACGGGAGUAACCCGCCCCUGACUUACGGAUAACAUUAGGAAACAGGGGCUAAUACCGGAUAGGAUCUCCUGCUGCGCGUUGGGCGUUGGAGAGUUUCGGCGUUUGGGGAUGGACUCGCGGCAUAUCCGCUUGUUGGUGAGGUAGUGGCUUACCAAGGCUUUGAGGGGUAGCCGGCAUGAGAGGGUGAACGGCCACAUUAGGACUGAGAUACGGCCCAGACUGCAACGGGAGGCAACAGUGGAGAAUAUUACACAAUAAGCGGAAGCCAGAUGUAGCGACGCCGCGUGCGGGAUGACGGCAUUCGGGUUGUGAACCGAUGUCGAAUGUGACGAGGAGAGAGUGACGGUAACGGAUAAAGAAGCACCGGCUAACUACGUG
rnacentral:rRNA from 1 species